CUGGGACCUUGCGUGGUCCCAAUCUCUAGUCCUACAGGCAGCAGCCCCUUUCACUCAGCACUCCAGCCUAAGCAUUGUCUUAAUGCUUUUGCAAUGUGCUUGACCAAUUCACCCGAGGAAGAAAUGUCUUUCAGGGACACUAUCCCCACCUUACACUUGCAUAUGAAUUUACAAACCCCAAACCACUUUUCUAUCCAAUCUUUCUUUAGGUUUUUCCAACAGAUUUUUCAAGGAAGCAAAAAAGACAGCAAAUUACUAAGAAUGAAAUUCACUUUUUAAUUUUUCCCACUGAGUCUUCGUCAACGGAUAAUCCCUACCUAUCAAGACAUAUGACAGUUCUCUCUCAUUUCAAUGUUGUAUGCAUAAAAAGCAAAUUCAGAACCUUCAUGUGAAAUGGAAUUGUAAAGGACUCUGGCUGCAACGCUAUUUGUUGAUAAAGCAAAAAUUGAUUUUCAACAGAAGUUAGAAUGAGGAAAGUCAAAUUUGGAGGACAGUGUAAAACCUCUAACAUUUUCAUGAGCUUUGAAGGUAGACUCUGCUGUUCAGAGAUUGCUCAAGACUAAACUGGUCCCUGCCGAGGUAUCUAUGGACUAGACUGGAACACGGAUAACAAAUACCUGCUGGGUUUGCUGCCACUACUACUUAAUCCUUCCUCUAUAGCUGGCAUUGCUAAUCACUCAUGACACUUUCCUGCUGAGCCCACAUGUAGACUCAGAUGGCUACAGGCAGUAACCACCAAUUGAUCAGAGCUGGCACACAAGAUGGAACCUAUUUGCAAUCCCUGGUCUAGAACAUUGUACCAUCUCUACUGAGCUGCUGCUUUGGGACUGACUUUACCAGGAGGCUCACCACAGGGGGUUGGAGUAGUCCUAGAAGGUGAAUAAAUGGCAGAGCCCACAUGGCAUACAAGAGGACAAGGUUCUGGAAGGAAAGGUACAAGGAGCUGACAUGAACCUGAUUUUUAACCUGAAGCAGACAGAGUUGGGACCAGCUGGCCUGCAGUCCUGUGAGCAAGAAAUCGAUGUGCAUACUCAUGAGUAAACCAUAAACAUUUGCUGUUAUAACCCAGGAAGCUUUGGGAGUUGAUUUUUAUGUGGUGUUAUGGCAACAAUUGUUGAUGAAUGUGGGUAUACAGUAUUGGAAGUUCUCAUGUGUCUUUGAUGGCCAGCCUCUCAGUGCUUACAGAGCUCCUCAGCCUCACCAGAUAUUUCCCACUUGAAUAAUGAAGUUGUAUGGUUGGGAAUAGACAUUUUGGCUAUUUGGGUCAAUAGGUUUAGGACCUUUGGAGGAUUCAAGACUGGUAGAAAACCACAGCAUGGUCUAAGAUGCAGGUGUUCAUGCCUGCAGAAGCCCAUGAUUAGACCCAACUGGAGGAAGUUUGGAGCUUCUCUCAGACAUGUAAGAAUUGUUCUGAAGAAUCUGCAUCUUGUUGGGUGAAGGACUUCAGAAUGUGCAAUAAAAAUGCAAUAGUCUUGGACCUAUGUAACUGGAAGGAACUGGUGGACAAGCUCUUACUGCUUCUCCAGGUUCUCACAAGAAAGCAGGCAUGGAUUCCUUUUGCACAGCUCCUCCAGGCUUUCUGGGCCCUGUCAUUCCUUCUUCUAUCUUCUGGGUUGAGCAACAUGCAAUCUCCCCUUGUGCAGAAGCCCAAAUAGCUACUGAAAAUGUGUCCUCUCUGACUUUCCCCAUUUCUUGAACUCUGAGAGACUUUUUCUAGUAUCAGUUCUGAGGAGCAUUGCUGUUUUCCUUCCUAUCAUCUGGAAGACCUAGACUUUAAAACUCAAAACCUGAGAAAAACUUCCUUUUUUUUCUCUCUUUUGUCUGGAUCAUCACUACCUUGAAAUACUAAAUUAGCAAAGUCCUAACUAGAAACUGAAUUGGCUAAAGAGUCAAGGAGCAACAGGUAAUUCCAAGAAAAACAACAGCAAACUUACAUCAGUUAACAUUUCAAAGCUAUUUUCCUUUGCAAUUUUGUGUAUCUGUUUUUAUGGAAUGCAAGAGAUAAUAGGCUAAAUGCUAUUUUGCAUAUGUGUUACAUUGGAUUUCUCACAUAUUCUACUACUUAACUCAAGAUGUUGAGUAAAUAAAUGAGUUAAUAAACUGGAAUUUCUAUAUCAGCUCUUGGUUCUAGUUAUGUUUCGUUUGUUUUGGAUUUUUUUUCUUUUUGAAUGCUUAUUCACUGGCCCAGCUGUAUUUAUGCCUAGAUUAACCAGAUACAUUGCCA
rnacentral:lncRNA from 1 species